CUACGGGCCGCAGCAGUGGGGAAUAUUGGACAAUGGGGGAAACCCUGAUCCAGCGAUGUCGCGUGAGUGAGGAAGGCCUUCGGGUUGUAAAACUCUUUUAUAGGUGAAGAUGAUGACGGUAACCUAUGAAUAAGCUCCGGCUAACUUCGUGCCAGCAGCCGCGGUAAUACGAAGGGAGCAAGCGUUGUUCGGAAUAACUGGGCGUAAAGGGCGCGUAGGCGGUCUAAUAAGUUUGGGUGUGAAAGCCCUGGGCUCAACCUGGGAAUAGCAUUGAAUACUGUUAGGCUAGAGGAUUGAAGGGGAUGAUGGAAUUAUGCAUGGAGAGGUGGAAUUCAUAGAUAUGCAUAGGAACACCGGUGGCGAAGGCGAUCAUCUGGGCAAUUACUGACGCUGAGGCGCGAAAGCGUGGGGAGCAAACAGGAUUAGAUACCCCAGUAGUC
rnacentral:rRNA from 1 species